UACGAAGGGGGCUAGCGUUGCUCGGAAUUACUGGGCGUAAAGCGCACGUAGGCGGCUUCUUAAGUCGGUGGUGAAAUCCUGGAGCUCAACUCCAGAACUGCCUUCGAUACUGGGAAGCUUGAGUCCGGGAGAGGUGAGUGGAACUGCGAGUGUAGAGGUGAAAUUCGUAGAUAUUCGCAAGAACACCAGUGGCGAAGGCGGCUCUCUGGGACGGUACUGACACUGAGACGCGAAAGCGUGGGGAGCGAACAGG
rnacentral:rRNA from 1 species